UUGCUUCAGCAGCAUAUAUAAUAAAAUUGGAAUGAUACAGAGAAGAUUUGCAUGGCCCCUAGGUAAGAAUGACAUGCAAAUUUGUGAAGCAUUGAAUAUUUUU